rnacentral:lncRNA from 10 species
GAAGAACUUCUUCUCUGGGGAUUGUGAACAGAUGCAAGAGUCUCUUCUCCCCUGAAUAUCAGAUUAUCUGAACGUGCUCUAUGGCUUCCAUUUGCUUCUCAAAGAAAAAUGCCCUCAGAAUAUGGGAACCAUCCUGAUUGGAAUAUACAGUGUUGAUAGUGGCUUACAGCCAAGGACUGACUCUCUGGGUGUGCAAAGGUUGUCCUCUUACAUCAAGAAAAAUAUUUGCAAUCUGUGAUUGGCUGAUUCCAUGGAUGUGGAAGCUGCAGAUACUGAGGGCUGACUGUAAAUCCCUGCGUCUAUACUUCGUCACAUGGCAACUGAGCUGAACUCACCCCUGAGCUGCGCUAGUGAUUUACGACACACAAUUUAGCAGUUCACAUUUGUCAGGCCUUUUGGUACACAGUAGCCUUUGGUGACUGGAAGUAGAUGGAGGCCCAAAUCUUCUCUCCAUUUCUUUGGCACUAAGAGCUAUGUUACAAUGAAAACAAGACCUAGGAACAAGGCACACAAAUGAUCACCUUGCUUGAGAGACUUAAUCCAAGAUGGACACAUACGAUCCUGGUGGCCCACCUUCCUGUCAGUUCUGGUGACAGAGUCCUUUGUGAAGUGGGAGGGCAAAGCACCAAAUGGAGCCCCACGUCUUGUUUAUUACAGGGAAGAAGGAUUCCCUAUGGGUAACUUAAUACUGUUUUAAAAUUGUUGUUACACAUACACAUAAGAUACUUAUAAGCAGGUACAUCACUUUGUAUAAUGCAGUGUUUGUAAGUAACUUCUUAGGCAACAUAAUAUCACAUGCUGUUAAUUCUCAUGUAAUCCCAUUGUGUCACACUAACAAUCCCGGUAAUAGGGUCACAUCAAUACUAACACAAGAAUGCUAAUAACUCCAAACCACUACCUCCUAAAUAAAGACACAUGCCAUUAUCAAUUGUCAUCUCACCAUCUCCCCUUCUGCAUGACUAGCCUAUUCUAGCAUCAUCUCUUCCCUGGGCCACUGCAAGUUUCCUCAACUGAAUUUAUUUAUUUAUUUUUGUUGUUCAUAGUCACAUUGAGAUGUUAAUAAAUCUG